GCUGCCCCAAUGCUCCUUCUGGUGCCUCUAUCUGCUGAGGGAAGUUCUCAAACUCAGUCAGGUUUGGAAAGUCAUUGGGAGAUUUUCCUAGAGGAGGCCAGGGAGGUUCCUCUGAACCCUAAGCCUCUUUCGCCCUCAUCCCCAGCAGAAAAGACGUGACAAUGCCUGUCCUGACUGAAUAAAGAAGAGAGAUAAGUCCAGCUGAGGAGUCUGUGUUAUGGGAUAAU
rnacentral:lncRNA from 1 species